rnacentral:rRNA from 1 species
GAUGAACGCUGGCGGCGUGCCUAGUACAUGCAAGUCGAGCGAACAGACGAGGAGCUUGCUCCUCUGACGUUAGCGGCGGACGGGUGAGUAACACGUGGAUAACCUACCUAUAAGACUGGGAUAACUUCGGGAAACCGGAGCUAAUACCGGAUAAUAUAUUGAACCGCAUGGUUCAAUAGUGAAAGACGGUUUUGCUGUCACUUAUAGAUGGAUCCGCGCCGCAUUAGCUAGUUGGUAAGGUAACGGCUUACCAAGGCGACGAUGCGUAGCCGGCCUGAGAGGGUGAUCGGCCACACUGGAACUGAGACACGGUCCAGACUCCUACGGGAGGCAGCAGUAGGGAAUCUUCCGCAAUGGGCGAAAGCCUGACGGAGCAACGCCGCGUGAGUGAUGAAGGUCUUCGGAUCGUAAAACUCUGUUAUUAGGGAAGAACAAAUGUGUAAGUAACUAUGCACGUCUUGACGGUACCUAAUCAGAAAGCCACGGCUAACUACGUG